ACCCGCUGAAUUUAAGCAUAUAAGUAAGUGGUGGAAAUUAAACCAACUGGGAUCUCUUCAGUAAUUGCGCAUGAACCAGGAUAUGCUUAGCUUGACAAAUGGAGCUGCUGGCUCUGAAUUGUAUUGUGGGAAUGUAUUACCAACAGAGGUGCAGGUGUCAGCCAUUUGAAAGAAAGCAUCAAUGAGGGUGAGAGUCCUGUUUGUCAUGUGCAGCCUUCUGUGCACGGUGUAUAUUUGCUGAGUCACACUCCUCGGCAUUGGAAUGCAAAGUGGGUGGUAAGUUUCAUGCAAAGGUAAAUAUGCAAUUGAGACUGAUAGCGCACAAGUACCAUGAGGGACAUAUGAAAAGGACUUUGAACAGAGAAUUAAAUGAGUUUGUAUUUGCUAAACACAAAGUAAACAGACUUGAUUUCCUCAGUGAGAUUGUAGUGCUUGCUUGACAAUGGGUUUUGGCUGCAAGUGCAAUAAUUCUUGCUUUGUGUGCCAAUUUUUAUGUGGACAUUUGAUUACCUUUGCACAUGAAUGGUAAUUUUCCUGCGGGGUGUGGAUUGCAUAUGCAUGUAAUGAUUUGCAUGUUUGUUAAAUGUGUCUGGUGUAUUUGUUUGUGUCCUUGUCCUUGAGGUUGCUUUCUCCCUUGGGCUUACAUGCCCUGGCACACACAUUCUGGCAAAAUGCUUCUGCUUGACCCGUCUUGAAACACGGUCCAAGG
rnacentral:rRNA from 1 species